UGGUUUUAGCACAGGGAGAGUUGAUAGACUCUUACAUUGGCAACAUUGUAGAAAUGCAGCUAGGUUGAUUUGCUAAAAUAGGAGCUGCAAAAGGAGAAGAGAGUUAAGAAUAAUGCCAAGGUUAUAGCCAGAGGCAAAUGGAAGGUCUAAGUUGAAAAGAGGAUAUAAAAUAAAGAAUUGGAUUUGAGGAUUACCUUUGUUGCCUCAGGUAACUUUUUAAGAAGUAGUUGAAAGAAAUUGAGAUUACAGUUUAAUUGAUGAGAUCAGGAAGAGAGAAGGUUAAAAGGGCUGGAUAUUAAAAAUUCCAAAAUAUACAGAACUGAGUAUCAUCAUGUAAAAAUGAUAGAAAGACAAAGGAAGGUGACAUAAUAUAAUCUAGCAUAAGAAAUUGUGCAGAAACCAGAGUCAAGAAUGAAACCUCAUAGGUUGCCUUAGAGGAGGGGGCCUUGUGCAGAGGCAGAGCUACUACCAAACGGAUGGAGGAGUUUGAUAUGUGGAAUCAAACAUCCAAGAAGAGAAAAAAAAUCAUGGCUGCAGCACUAAGGAGAUAGUGAAUACUCCACAAGGCGGAAGGGUGCAAUGAUGUCCAAGAGAAUGAGUGUGAGGGAGAAAAAGCCAUUUUGAGUAUGAACAGUAUUUGCUCUUUUAGCUAUUUAAUGGUGUUAUGACUGAUACUUUAAUUCUGAAAUAUCAACCAAUAUAAACCUAAUGGCAUGCUGAAGAUGAAAUCCUGCUUUCUGGUUAGUUAAUUGUUAGGAAAAGAAAGUAGCCAAGAUUAUAGCAGUAGCAAACACCAGAUCAAAUUAAACACAAAGAAUUAAUUUUUAAACAUUUUUAUAUUCUCAUAAUAAUAAAUAGGGAGCAUGUUUUCUGGCAGCUGAUGACAGACUGGGAUAGUGGCCAUUAUUUUGCCUAGAAAAUAUGCAAUCAAGCUUUAUUCACAUUAAUUUCACAUUCUAAAAAAUACACCUAACGUCUAAACUGCUGUGAAAAUGUCCUGUAUCUUUUUGAGAGACAAAAUGGGUGAAGUAAUAUCAUUUAUUGGACCAACUCCUGUAGGUGAGAGAGAGACAAGAAGACAACACAAGGUCCAAUAAAAGAUAUUACCUCACUUACCUUGUUUUUCUCUAAUAUCCUGGGACCGAUAUGGCUAUAACUACACUGGUUUUUCUUAGACUUCUUAACCUUUUCCUUUGGCAAAAAAUGCAUAUUACACAAGCAAGAGGGCAUUUUUAUUUAUUACUGUUAUUUUUACAACACUCUCAAUUGUGUGCUUUACAGAAACAAAAACCUUGUCUGUAUCAAAAAUUGCUCCAGUUUUACUAAAGGUAAAUCAGCUUAGUUAAACCAGUGCAAACCUGUGUGGUUUGUGCUGGUUUAAAUAAAUCCACUUAGAAGCAUCUCUUUAGUGAAACCUAUGCAAUUUUUAAUACAGACAAGAUCUAAUAAAAAGAUAUGGUCCUUGAUCCAGAAAAUUAUCAUUUAAAACCCCAAUCUUGUAAGGUCUUAUGCAUGUGCAUUAGAUCACUCAGUAGUCCCAGAGAUUUCAGUAGGGACUAGUCACAUGAGUCAAUUGUGUACAUGCUUAAGUCUUUGCUGGCUUGGGGCUUAAAUUUUGACAAGACUCAGCUUAGACAUGUUAACAUUUUGAUGAUUCAAUAAUUAUUUUUGGUAGCCUGUUUUUGUUUUUAUUAUAUUUAACACCAAGUUUAAAACUCUGGGCCUAAUUCUCUUCUCUUUUUUCUCUUAUACCAGCGUUGGGGGGGGGGGCAGUAGUUAAAGGUCUCUGGAAACUAACAAUCAAUUUUUAUAAAAAAAAUGUGUCUGUUGGUAGGGAACUCCAUCAAAUGUCCAUCAGGAAUGCUAGAGAUUGCAGGACUGUGGUUGAUAUUUUAUAAUUAUUUCAUAAAAUAAUGCUUAAAAAUAAAAAGUAUAUUAAUUGAAUGUGAUUUUAAAUGUCAAGGCCUGUAUUUAUAGAGGAAUGUAUGCUAGUAAAAAAGAGUCCAUAUCUUCCAUGUUAGUGUUUGUUUGGAUAGAAUGAUAGUUCUAUCCUUUAAAAUUGCUGAAACGGGGUAUUUUGUUCGGGGGGGGGGUGGGCAGUUAAAUUAGAGACAAUGUAAAGCUCUUACAUGCUGAGGUGAUUUUAAAAUUAUUUAAAUAAUACAGAACUUCAGCCGACAUAUUUUCUGUAGUCUAGCAUCGCAGCUCACAGAGGUGGGCCAAAGUUGCAGUGCUACAUGCACUGACCACGUCUCCUGCUCCUGCUUGCCGCCAGAUUCUCUGCCUCCAUGGCAGCAGCCAGUUGGCAAGUUUAGCUGCUACUGUUUCUUUUGUUCCCCUGGCUGUUUUUCUUGCCUGUUUUCAGCAGUGGCGAGCAAAUCUUUUUCUUAACCCUUUCUUCUCCUCUCUGGGUCAAAUUUCAUUGGCUUAAUGAGUAAUCUAUCUGGAGCUGCUGGCCACAUGCCAGUUAUACAUAGUUGUGUUCCCACUGAAGUUACUAAUAUCUUUCUAUGAGUUCUAUGUAGCAUUGGAAUGACUCAUCUGGCACCAAGCUGGGGGGGAAGAAGGGUGGCCAGUGCAUGCAGCACUGCAACUUUGGACCCCCUCUGAGAGCUGCAGCGUGGAGAGGAGAUGUCUUGUGGGAGAUGCUGGCAGAAAGGAGAUUAUUGCUGGUGGCAGGGAAAGCUGCAGUUCAUAGGACAUCACAGUCAGGUGCUCUUAAUACCUGGGUAAGACCCUCCAGCAGAGAGAGAGAAGUAAAGUUGAUAUUUCCAAUAUCAAAAGCAAGCAGGAAAAAACAGGUUGUUUGAGAGAGGGAAAACUUGAAAAAACUUUUAUAUAUCAAGAACCAAACACACUUUUAGUUUGUAAUUUACUUUUAUUAUUAUUGGAUACAAACGGUCUAGGACUGAUGAUUGAUUCAUGUUUAGCCUUCGAGUGCCUUAUUCAACUCUUGAGUUCUUUCCCCGUACACAAUGAAAGCACCAAGAACGAGUAUUUGUACUUGUUCUCCCUUACUGGCCUCUGCAAAAAACCUGUGAACUGGGGCAUAGCUCUUUUAUGAAUAGGAUCCCUUAGUCACUACCUCUGUGGGGAAAACUGUAUUAGAAGCCAUGGCAGUAACUCAGCAUGGUAUUAGACAGCUUCCUAAUUCUUAUCACAAUCUGAAUUGCUGACUGAAUAUAACCCAGGUAAUUAAAAAUCUGUUUCUGAAUUUUGGUAUGGUACAGAGAAUGUAGGGAAAAGAGUAGCUACGCUCCAUUGUGUUUGAGUGCACUACUGAAUCAGUUAGCAGCAGAGCACUGUUUAUAGGCUUUGGGCAAGAGGGUUUUUUUUUUAAUUCCCCCACUGUGUUGAAUUUAUUUCCAUCAAUACUCAUUAAUUAACUCAGUCUCCAUUUCUUCUUUAGUACAUUUAUAAUGAUAAAAUAAUCUGACUUUUACUCCAAUGUGCCUAACUGCUAAACAAUGGAAAUAGUUAAACCACACACAAUUAAUUGUGGGAAAACAUUUUAUAAGGUAAAUAUUUGCCCCCCCGUCCCAUUUUUAGGGGUCCAGUUCCAUGAAAAGAUCAAUUUUGGAAGUGUCCAGGAAUCACUCCAGUAGUCUUUGCAUUGAGAGGAGUUAUAUUUGACGCCUCUACGGUACAAAUGAAGCAUCCCAUGGGGAGAAAAACGAAAGUUUUCAGUAAUGGGAAGUAUGCCCUUUUUACACUGUAAGUAUAUCUAGUCGUAAAGAAAACCAAUCCAGCUUCUAGUGGCAAUUGUUUUCAGUCCAUUCUACUCCAUGACUAAAAUAACUGAAUUUCUUCUAGUCUUUCAGCUUAGGAUCUCUAUACCAAAUAAUACAUUAAAAACAACACCCACCCUUGACCUAAACCUCCCUUGGAAUGGUAGAAGUCUCUCCAAGAAAUCCACUUAAUUUCCCUUAAAGGGGAGUGGUAUGGCAGAAACUUUCAUGCAGUUUGCUAGUGGUUGCUGUGUUUAGUGUGAAACCUAGUCUAAUUUCAGCAAUGCCCCUUUGCUAAAGUGUGUACAAAGUGUUUCUUCAAAUCAACAGUUCUCUUCUCAACCCCUUUUUGUAUGUGGACUUAAGUUGUUUUGGUAUUUGGAAUACAGAAUUGUCAUAACACCAUACAAUAAAUAAGGGUCAUCAAGUGUCUUGUGCUACCUAACUAGCCAGAACCACAAUAAUGUCUUUUUUUUUUUUUUUUUUUUUUUUAGGGGUGGAGAGGAGCAGUUGGUGCUUUCUACUUACACGCUUGGUAGCAAAAAGCCUCUUGAAAAGAUAAAUGCUGAGAGGUAAAUGUUUGUCAGCUGAUUGUUUUAGCAGGCACACAAUUCUUCCUUUGAUGUCUAUCAGGUUCAAUGAAAUCCUGUUACUACCAGGAUUUAGUUGUAGAUAUAUUAAGAUUUUUUCUGUGAUCUCUCCUGCAACAGAAGCAGUAGUAAAAUUUAUAACAGUGUCACCAUAAAGGAAUGCUUGUAAAGGCUCUCUGUAUAUUCUUAACUGUCCCAUUUUUUUCAAAGGGGAGGGUUUCCCUUUUUAUAUUUAAAAACUUACUGUUUGUCAACGAAUUAGAGGCCAGAUACUUAGCUGGUGUAAAUCUACAUAGCUCAAUGGAGCUGAAUUACACUAUCUAAGUAAGAAAGACAGUUAUGAAUGGGAAUUACUUAAUAGCCACAUGUUCUGUCACAGGUUUCGAAGUGUCAUGUUAAUUAGUCUUCCCACAAUGCAGGAGCAAAGUUACUCCUAUUAUUACCAUAAGGCAGAGUCACAUUGGUGCAUAGACAAGAGAGACUGUAGAUGCCUACAGUUUCAUCCUACUUUAGUGCUAUGGCCAUUAGAUAAUUUGUUCGGAAGAGCUGAAGUGAAAAGUGAUACAACCAGACUGUGUAACUAACUACAUACCUGUGUUCUACUAAAA